rnacentral:rRNA from 1 species
AUGGGACACUGUUGGGACCGCCUCUGCUAAAGAGGAGGAAGGAAUGGGCAACGGUAGGUCAGCAUGCCCCGAAUUAUCCGGGCUACACGCGGGCUACAAUGGUCAGGACAAUGGGUAUCGACACCGAGAGGUGGAGGCAAUCUCCUAAACCUGUCCUUAGUUCGGAUUGUGGGCUGCAACUCGCCCACAUGAAGCUGGAAUCCGCAGUAAUCGCGUUUCAAAAUAGCGCGGUGAAUAUGUCCCUGCUCCUU